GUUUUUGCAGGUUUUUCAUCAUCUCUAAUGGCGGGUCGCGAGGUACACGUGGCUCUCAACCUACUGCAAUUGAGGUAGAUCCUGACUUUCCUCAUAUAAUUUUCAAGGAUGAGGCUCAAAAGGCUUGGUACGAUCGCACAGGCGGGUCCCCACCCCAGUUGGUACACCUGGAACCCCGCCUAUGGUGGAGCUGGAGGGAGUGGCACAGGCACCGGUACUCAGGAUCCUGCUGCUGAUGAUUCUGAUUCCGAUUCUAUGGCCGACUGAGGGCCGUGUUCCUUGCCUUCUCCUUGUUGCAAUGCGGACAUUGCCAAGUUCAGCUUGGGGGAGGAUCUUCACUGCACAUAUGGUAUCUUCUAUCACUUCUUAGGUAGUUUACAGCUUUUGUAGUUCAGUUUAGCAUAGUUUUCUUUGUGUGUUUGGUGUGUUUUGUGUGUU